rnacentral:rRNA from 1 species
CGACGGGAGCUUGCUCCCUUAGGUCAGCGGCGGACGGGUGAGUAACACGUGGGUAACCUGCCUGUAAGACUGGGAUAACUCCGGGGAAACCGGGGCUAAUACCGGAUGCUUGAUUGAACCGCAUGGUUCAAUCAUAAAAGGUGGCUUUCAGCUACCACUUACAGAUGGACCCGCGGCGCAUUAGCUAGUUGGUGAGGUAACGGCUCACCAAGGCGACGAUGCGUAGCCGACCUGAGAGGGUGAUCGGCCACACUGGGACUGAGACACGGCCCAGACUCCUACGGGAGGCAGCAGUAGGGAAUCUUCCGCAAUGGACGAAAGUCUGACGGAGCAACGCCGCGUGAGUGAUGAAGGUUUGCGGAUCGUAAAACUCUGUUGUUAGGGAAGAACAAGUACCGUUCGAAUAGGGCGGCACCUUGACGGUACCUAACCAGAAAGCCACGGCUAACUACGUGCCAGCAGCCGCGGUAAUACGUAGGUGGCAAGCGUUGUCCGGAAUUAUUGGGCGUAAAGCGCGCGCAGGCGGUUUCUUAAGUCUGAUGUGAAAGCCCCCCGGGCUCAACCGGGGGAGGGUCAUUGGAAACUGGGGAACUUGAGUGCAGAAGAGGAGAGUGGAUUCCACGUGUAGCGG